UCGUUGAAGCGUUAUUGAACGGUGUAACAUUACUCAAAUGUUACACCGGUGUAAUUUGAUCCCUCCCCAUUAUUAUUAUUAUUAUUAUUUAUUAUUAUUAUUAUUAAAAAUAAAAAAAAACAUAUAAAAGAGAAGGAGCAGCACGCUGCUUUCCCUUCCCCUUUCUUUUUUAAAAAAUUCCUUUUUUUUCCUUUUUAUUAUUAUUUAUUAUUAUUGGUAUUAUCAUAAUGAAAAAACAAAAAUCAAAAAAGAGCAGAGUACUGUAGCAUCACAGUGCAACGCCCCUCUCCUCUGUUUUUCAGCUUUCAUUCCUUUCAAUAUUUUCCAAAUCAAGCUUGGGUCUUCACUAUUGAAUUCAACCAAGCAAAAGUGGGAGUCACUUCAUUCCUCUCCCAUAUCUGCAAUCUCUUUUUUCUGUCAAAGCAAGUAAUAAUUCAACACUCAAAAUUAUCCAAUGGUCAUAGGCAUUGAUCAAUUGAUCCUAUAAAUUGAUCCAAACAAAUCAGAACAGGGAGAGCAAAUUUGAGGAAAAAAAAAAGCACAGCCGCACCUGCAAAACCAAAACAAUCACAAAACCCUAAUUAUUUCAUCACAGAAACCAACUCAACCUAAAAUCAUCAGAGAAGCCAAACCGGUUUCAAUCAAAGUUAACCCAGAAACCAAAUCAAAUUGAACAAAAACAUCGAAACCCACCACCAACACUUUUUCAAAUCAUCAAAAACCAAACGAAAUCAAAAACAACAGAGAAAGAAGAAGAAAGAAGACGAAGAGAAAUUUUAAGAACUGCCUCCGAUCUGUGUUUGGGUGAGGUUUCUGAACUCAUCAUAUUUAUAAUCGUGUAUUAGGGGGUUGAUUUAGGGGGGUUUAGUAUAAGAUUUUUUUCUUUUUGGGUGGUUUUAGGGUUCCGGCACGGCGGCGCCGCCGUAUGGCCUGACGGCCGCCGCGCCGGCGAUUAGGAUGUGCAAAACCCUAGCAGAGCGCUAGGAAGAAAGAAA
rnacentral:lncRNA from 1 species